GAACGACACGUGCAUCGCCUCCACGCUGACACUCACCGAUGCCAAGAUUACAGACACGGGAUUCUACGAGUGUCACCUUCAACAAUUCCCUGACCUCAAAACGGAGCACUACGUCUACGUUUGGGACAAAAGGCAUCUUCUGUUAAACAGCGGAGGUGUCGACAGAAUUACAGUGAAGCAUGGCCAAAGGGCUGCAAUUCCCUGCAAACCGACCCAUCCGGAUGUCCGUGUCACACUGAAACGCAACAACCAUUUCACCGUCGAAACUUCAUUCAAGGAAGAACUACAACAGGAUUUAUUAAAUGUUUCAAACGCAAAAUGGGAAUUUCAUAAGCAAACGGGAUAAACGCUGAAUAAGGCGAAGUUAAGCUAUUACGG